CUAUGAUGCCUAAAGACUCUGAAAGUAUCAGAUCCCAUCUGAUCUUGGAAGCUAUGCAGGUUUAGGCUUAGUACGUACUUGGAAGAGAGACCACCGGGGAAUAUCAUGUGCUUUUGACU
rnacentral:rRNA from 1 species